UACGGGGGGGGCAAGCGUUGUUCGGAAUUACUGGGCGUAAAGGGCUCGUAGGCGGCCAACUAAGUCAGACGUGAAAUCCCUCAGCUUAACUGGGGAACUGCGUCUGAUACUGGAUGGCUUGAGUUUGGGAGAGGGACGCGGAAUUCCAGGUGUAGCGGUGAAAUGCGUAGAUAUCUGGAGGAACACCGGUGGCGAAGGCGGCGUCCUGGACCAACACUGACACUGAGGAGCGAAAGCCAGGGGAGCAAACGGG
rnacentral:rRNA from 1 species